rnacentral:rRNA from 1 species
AAAAGCUACCCCGGGGAUAACAGGCUUAUUUUCUCCAAGAGUCCAUAUCGACGAGAAAGUUUGGCACCUCGAUGUCGGCUCAUCCCAUCCUGGGGCUGUAGUAGGUCCCAAGGGUUUGGCUGUUCGCCAAUUAAAGCGGUACGUGAGCUGGGUUCAGAACGUCGUUAGACAGUUCGGUUUCUAUCUGCCGUGGGUGUACGAGAAUUGAGAGGUGCUGCUCUUAGUACGAGAGGACCGGAGUGGACAUGCCAAUGGUGUGCCAGUUGUAGCGCCAGCUGCAGCGCUGGGUAGCUAUGCAUGGGAAAGAUAACCGCUGAAAGCAUCUAAGCGGGAAACUUGCCUCGAAACUAGUUCUCGCCAUCAGGGCCGUGGUAGACCACCACGUUGAUAGGCUGGGUGUGUACGCGCAGUAAUGCGUUUAGCUAACCAGUACUAAUAGCCCGAUUGGCUUGAUUUU